rnacentral:rRNA from 1 species
CCUACGGGAGGCAGCAGUGGGGAAUAUUGGGCAAUGGAGGCAACUCUGACCCAGCAACGCCGCGUGAAUGAUGAAGGUCUUCGGAUUGUAAAGUUCUGUUAUGGGGGAUGAACACAAUGACGGUACCCCAAUAGCAAGCCACGGCUAACUACGUGCCAGCAGCCGCGGUAAUACGUAGGUGGCAAGCGUUAUCCGGAAUGACUGGGCGUAAGGGGUGCGUAGGUGGUUUAGUAAGUCGGCGGUGAAAUUCCGGGGCUCAACCCCGGCGCUACCGCCAAAACUAUUAGACUAGAGUGCAGGAGGGGUAAGUGGAAUUCCCGGUGUAGCGGUGGAAUGCGUAGAUAUUAGGAGGAACAUCAGGGGCGAAGGCGACUUACUGGACUGUAACUGACGCUGAGGCACGAAAGCGUGGGGAGCAAACAGGAUUAGAUACCCGUGUAGUC